ensembl:lncRNA
GGGAUUGUGCAUGGGAACACAGCGCUCCGAAACUGCCGCAGAGCAGAGCUGCCGCCUGUGCCCAUUGUCAGGGCUGGAGGGGAGGGGGUGAACCUGCUCCUCACUGCCACUGGGGCGCUCAUCAUUCCCUAUAAGCGGGGUCCCCCCUUACAUCAGCCUUCCUCCUAAAGUGGGAGGACUGCUGGGCAACGCCGGCUGGACGUCUGCAUUGAGAAAUAGGAGAUUUAGCACCGGUUCCCCGGGGGCGGCCCGAUUGCAGAGAGCAACAGACCACUGGAGCAGGCUGCCCAGAUAGGUUGUGGAGUCUCCUACUUGGAGAUAUUCAAGACCCACCUGGACACCUUCCUUUGCAACCUAUGAACUAGUUUUCCACUCGUGAUGCUCAAAGUGGCAAAAAUAUUAUAGAAGAAAACUAUUGGAUUGUCAAGUUGUAUUAUAAAUACAAGACCUGGAUGCAAUGGACUCAUGCAUAAUCUUUCUGUGUAAGACAUUUGCCAUCUGCCUACCACUCCCAUCUUGAGUAGAGAAGGCUGCUGGAAGACACGAUACAGGCCUCAAAUAUGUCAAAGAUUCUUCAUCAAGGAAAGAAAAAAGCGUUUUUCUGCUUGCCAUGUCUGAAAGAAUCAAUCUACUGGUAUAGGUGUGUGUGCACAGAAAUGAAGAUAUUGACAUGAGAAAAUAACAGUGGAAUCAGAAGAAACAAGAAAUGGUAUACUGACAAAAGUAAUGUUUUUGUUAUUGUUAGAUGUUUUAAUCUUUGUGCUUCAGGCCUCAUUUCAUAUUUCGUACUGCAAAAUGAAAAACAAACAUAUGAAAGAAGAGAAUUGUUUUCUUUUCCUUUUGAGCUGCUAUUUAAAUGAGUUCCUAUUACCGUUUGUAAGAACUACAUUUUAGGGAAUGUAGCAAAUCCCAACAAGUAAACAAAUACAUCUUAAAUCUAAUCAUUACAAGAUUAUUCCUGAUAUUUAUAAUACCCUGGCCUUUAAGUUUUCUUUUAGAACAGCUGCAGGGCUUCUGGACAAGAUGAGUAGCUCUUAAUCGAACGGCUGAAAAACUCCCAAGAAGUGAUUUGUCAUCUUAGGCAAGGCAUUUUUAAAAUAACCCAAUGGCACAUGAAACUAGGCUUAAAUGCCAUUAUGAUAAAAACCACUUAAGCUACUGAUAAUCAUCCUAUGUGAAUUGGCACUCUAUAUGCUUACAGACAAAUCUGGACAUGCUUCAAUUACCUUUUCAGCAUAGCUCUGAAUACUAUUAAUACUAUGAAAAAUGUUAUAUAUGUAAAUUACAAAAAUACCACAGUAAGUAAAAAGUGUAUGUUCAUCAUUGUAAUUAGUGGCUUGUGCCAAGAAAGCAUCUUGUGAAAGCAGAUAAUUGACUUUUUUAAAUUAGAGGUGAAAGAAACCUGCAAGAUCAUUUUAUUAACCGUGACAAACUUGGCAUGCUGCUAUUACAUUUUAUCUAGAAAGAAAUGCUAAUUCACUGAUUCAUAACAGAUACCUCGUUUCAGUGUUCUUUUCUAUUUAGUAAUGCUGAUGAGUUCUUUGAGUUGAUCACCUGUAAAUUGCUCUUGUGAAGUAGUCUUACCCCUAAUUAUUAUUAUAGGGCUACCUAUAUUACCUUUUUUAUCAAGAUGCUGGUCUUUGGGCUGAUGAAGAAGGAAGUUCUUACACAUUUAGGUUCCAGAAGUCUGGAUAAUACUAGUUUUGCUUCCAGGCUCUUAAUGUAAUGCUGAAUAUGUCUGAAUUUUAUUGAAAUUCUCCGUUCUGAAGUGUAACAAAUACAUCUUCACUGACUUUCACUGAAGAAUCAACGAGACUAAUUCAGGUGCAGAGAAUUUCCACAGAGGCCUUCAAAGAUCUCUCCCCAUUGGCUAUAUGGAGUCUUCACUGAAUAAAAGCUGGUAAAAGCUGCAUUUUCAUCUUCAAGAGACAUCUACUGUUGAAAUCUUUCUAAGCCUAGCCAAGUUUAUUUUCUGCCUUAUCACACUUGAAUAUUUUUUACCAAAGGAAAAACAAAAGAAGGCACUUAACAUGCUUGUGACCUAAAUAUUUUACUAUAGGAAGAUUGCAUUCACUUUACACCUGGGCAGCCAGGCUUUGUUCUUUGUGGCACUGUAUGUCCAAACCACCUCUCCAAUGGAAGCAGAGUUUAUUAUUCUUCAGUAUUUUUAAAGUCUCAUACCUAGUGCUUUUCAAAGUAAUGGAAUCUGAACUGGAGUCAAAAGAUGCGAGUACUCAGUAUAGUUGUCAUUUACUUGAACAUUCCUUAAAGGUAUAUUUAAAUGAUCAUAGGUUGUGCAAGUUCAGAUAAUUCAUUUUCUAGUGAAGCAAAUACUGACUUCAAAAAUUUGCUAUGUCUGAAAUGAUAUGCUGCUACCGUUAGAUAAGUACUUCCAAAGCAUGAAGAUAAUGACGUGUUGUGUGCCCAAGUGUGUUAAGAGUGGUUAAAAGGCAAAGUCUUCUGGGAUAGCCCUGGGGACCUGAAGGGGUGGGGGGAAUCUGAUGCGUUUUGUCCACAACGUCUAAUAAGGAAGAGCCAUGUUUAUCCCUCACACUUCUGCCUGAGAGGGCUAGCUGGCACAGUGAUACUAGAGAGCAUGUUGAUAAUUUAAGUGACAUGGACCACCAGUAGUCUAAUGCUCAGUUUUUAUUCCUGGCCCAGUUCUAUUAGGCAGCUUAGAAAUAGCCCUUUGAACCCAUGCUUUAGUGAUAUGUUCAUCUGCUGAAGAAAAUAUGUUCUCACUUCUUUCACGUUUAUUUGGAGGCUAAAGUAUAAAGUCUGCCUGGCUGUGGUGUUUGAACAAGAGAUAAUGUAUGGAGUCCUAGAAAAAAUGGUGUAUCUUUUUGUCUCAAAAUUUUAUGAUUCUCUUUCUUCAGAAGAGGAUAUCCUAUCCAUAGCACACUUGCAUUCAUGAAGAAACCCAAACAUGGGAGACUUCUGUGAUACUCUUUGGUCUCUGCAAGUCAUCAGAGUUAGCAUAAGUUCCUUCACCAAUUCUUUGACAGAUACUCUAAUUUAAACUGGAAUUUUCCUAUCCGUAUGUCGUAAAGAACACAAGUGAGUCAAGAAAUCAGUUGUAUACCUUGUAAUAACUUCCUCAAAAACCUUAUUCCUAUACUAGAAGACAUUAUUUCUUCUUGUAUUACCAAACAUUAACUUAUAACUAGCUUUCCAAGUCAUUAUGUAUUUAAGUAGACAAGAUACACGAUAAGGGAUAAUUAUGAGUGAUGAUACAGACACCAGCUAGAUGAACAUAAACAAACAUGAUUAAAUAUGUAUUUAUUUUUUAUAAGUUUUUACUAGAGCUACCAAUAUCUGCAGAAACUAUUUCUGAACAAGACUGAAUCAUUUUUGACUUUUCUGUGACUCGGUUGUGUUAGUUGAUAUCUAUGUCAGUGUGGCUGUUGGCUUCUCUUGAUUGUUAUAUAUUCGAGCUUGUCAUCAUCAGAAGAAUCAACAAGUGACCCAAUUCAGCUUGGUUUUCACCUUUCACCCACGUAAAAUUUCAAAAGGAGACUCAUUGUUUCUGCAUGUGUCGUAACCCUGUAAUUAUGAAGAAAUUCAGUAGCAAAUUACUUCCAUGGCUUUUCCCCUCCAUUCUCUGCAGUUGAAAGCAUUCUUUCAAGAGACAUUAACUAGUCUCAAUUUCCCUGUUCUUCUGAGAAUAGCACGCUAACAAAAAUAUACACUAAAUAUUUUCCUGAGAGAGAAAAUCUAGUGAAGUCAGUGGAAAUAAAUCUCUGCUCAUUAUC